rnacentral:rRNA from 1 species
AACGAACGCUGGCGGCAUGCCUAACACAUGCAAGUCGAACGAGACCUUCGGGUCUAGUGGCGCACGGGUGCGUAACGCGUGGGAACCUGCCCUUAGGUUCGGAAUAACUCCCCGAAAGGGGUGCUAAUACCGGAUAAUGUCUUCGGACCAAAGAUUUAUCGCCUUUGGAUGGGCCCGCGUUGGAUUAGCUAGUUGGUAGGGUAAAAGCCUACCAAGGCGACGAUCCAUAGCUGGUCUGAGAGGAUGAUCAGCCACACUGGGACUGAGACACGGCCCAGACUCCUACGGGAGGCAGCAGUGGGGAAUAUUGGACAAUGGGCGAAAGCCUGAUCCAGCAAUGCCGCGUGAGUGAUGAAGGCCUUAGGGUUGUAAAGCUCUUUUACCCGGGAUGAUAAUUACAGUACCGGGAGAAUAAGCUCCGGCUAACUCCGU